rnacentral:rRNA from 1 species
AUUGAACGCUGGCGGCAGGCCUAACACAUGCAAGUCGAGCGAGCGGCGGACGGGUGAGUAAUGGCUGGUAAACUGCCUGAUGGAGGGGGAUAACUACUGGAAACGGUAGCUAAUACCGCAUACCAUCAGAUUUGCCCAGACGGGAUUAGCUAGUAGGUGGGGUAACGGCUCACCUAGGCGACGAUCCGUAGCUGGUCUGCGAGGAUGACCAGCCAAACUGGAACUGAGACACGGUCCAGACUCCUACGGGAGGCAGCAGUGGGGAAUAUUGCACAAUGGGCGCAAGCCUGAUGGAGCAAUGCCGCGUGUGUGAAGAAGGUCUUCGGGUUGUAAAGCACUUUCAGCGGGGAGGCGUUAUCCGCAGAAGAAGCACCGGCUAACUCCGUGCCAGCAGCCGCGGUAAUUC